GUCGCCGGCGGCCUGUUCAUUGAUGACAGCCAAGGGUUCAUGCUCGGAAACGAGUACAUCUUGCUCCAUGUUGUCGGCUCAGCUAGAGUCCUUAAUCAUGAGGAGAUGGGACACGUCGAUUGUUAGAGUACACUUGAUAGGGGUGAUCGACGCUGACUAGCGCAACCGGUGGGCGCUGUGCACUUCAACCACUCAGAGGCGGACUUCUCCGUGAAGCUGGUGGCCAUGUCGCGUAGAUGAUUGUCCAGGUGAUUUUGACGCCGGAGGUCGCCGAGGUGGUGGACCUCGACGCCACCGUCCGGGGGAGGGAGGAGGGAGGAUUCGGGUCCACCGGCGUCUAAGCUUCGAGCCUUGGUAGAUACAUCUAGGGAAGUUGUCUGUUUAGGUUGGUGAUGGAACACCAGGGAAGGUACCCACCUUUCGAUGAUCAUUGUGUGUGUCUGAAGUUAAAUGGAAUCUUGAGAAUGUUA